rnacentral:rRNA from 1 species
ACGGAGUUAGCCGGGGCUUAUUCUCCCGGUACUGUCAUUAUCAUCCCGGGUAAAAGAGCUUUACAACCCUAAGGCCUUCAUCACUCACGCGGCAUUGCUGGAUCAGGCUUUCGCCCAUUGUCCAAUAUUCCCCAUUGCUGCCUCCCGUAGG